ensembl:lncRNA
GGCAGAAUUAUCUUGCGAAUUUGGAGGUUGUGAAGAUUUAAGGAGAGAAAAACUGUGUUCUCUUUGUCUUCUGGAAAUUGGGAAUUUCCCUAACCUCUACUUGCAUUCCCUAUGUAGUUUCGCACUUCUCCAGCAGUGCGCUGUUAUCAGUCACACUGGGAACAGAGACCACAGUGAAAAAUAUCUUUCUGCCCACCCUCGGAGAUGUGUGCUGUGAUGAAGGCUCUAAAACCAUUCUUUUGAGUUCAAACAGCAAAGGAAUGCAGGAAAAAAAUAAAAAGCCUUGUGACACCAGAAAACCAACUACGAAUGUGGGUCAUCGUGCUGAAAUGAGGCAGAGAAGAAGUUUUUGCCUAAUAGCCU